rnacentral:misc_RNA from 1 species
GAUGAAGAACGCAGCGAAAUGCGAUACUUAAUGUGAAUUGCAGAAUUCAGUGAAUCAUCGAAUCUUUGAACGCAUAUUGCGCUCUCUGGUAUUCCGGAGAGCAUGCUUGUUUGAGUAUCAGUAAACACCUCAACUUCCAUAUCUUUUUUGAAAUGGGAGUUGGACUUGAGUGAUCCCAACGCUUUUCCUCACCGAAAAGUGGCGGGUUACUUGAAAUGCAGGUGCAGCUGGACUUUUCUCUGAGCUAUAAGCAUAUCUAUUUAGUCUGCCUAAAAAACAGAUUAUUACCUUUGCUGCAGCUAACAUAAAGGAGAUUAGUUCUUGUGCUGACUGAUGCAGGAUUCACAAAGACGGCUUCGGCCGACUUUGUAAACUCGAUCUCAAAUCAAGUAAGACUACCCGCUGAACUUAAGCAUAUCAAUAAGCGGAGGA